AACAAGCUCUUUAUGGUACAUAGAAAUAAUCCUGUCAUACAGUGACCAUUCAGAGAGGGAUAAAAACCUUAUAUAUGAAACUUUCACUAAUAACCUGAAACAUCACCACAGAGACAGUUGGGUUAUCCUGUUUGUUUGGACAUCCACUUAUUCACUUGAAAUGCAGGAAAUCUAUUUGAAAAAAACAAAACAAAACAUGAUCAGUUACUUGAUACAAUCAUGAGAUGUGAUCGAGAAAAACUUAUUAAGGAAUUAUUUUGUCAGAGUCAGUCUCUCUCAACAAGCACUUCUCUUUAUUGCUGCCAUGUGAAAAAGGACAUGAUUGUAAGUUUCCUGAGGUCUCCACAUCCAUGCAGAACUAUUUACAGGCCAGUUGUUGACAUUGUAGUAUCCUCUCUUUGAACACUGGAAUUGAGCAACUUCAAAGAGUCAUUGGACCAAGGUCUUCAUGCUUCAAAUAAACCUGCAUCAAAGAAACCUGGCUAGAAGACAAAGAUCAUGCUUUAUUCCCCCACAAAAGGAUUAUGUUUAGAUUUAAUGUUGAUGCCUCAGUUAAGUGCUCACUUUGAAAAUCAAUACAACAUUGUGUGCUUGGUUGGCUCAAUACCUCUCAGUCAAUAUUAAUAAAAAAACAGCAACAAAACAA
rnacentral:lncRNA from 1 species